UAUUAUUAUUAUGGUAAUACUACCAGCAGUGGUAUCUUAGAAGUAAGUACUGUAAUAGUGAGACUUAGCACUAGAAAUCUGCAUAUAGGAUUGUUGCAUUCUAAACCAAUUACCUUCUGCAGCCUUUAGCUCACCUUCUGCGGAAGUCUUUUGACAGCUUCCUGCUAGAGAAAACAGAAUAUGAUGUAGCAUUUAAAUAUACAUUCAUUCCUGCAGCAUUCAAGGAGGCAAAAUCAGGUAGUCCUGUGCGGCCAGCAGUGUUAAAUACAACUUAACAUAUGAAUUAUUCAAGUAUCCUGAAGGAUGACUUGAUGAGAAAUUAGAGGCCAUGUAAAGAUUGUUAAGACCCUAAAGCUCAGGAAAGAACAUUUUUUUACAUUUCAGUUUUUUAAAGUACAGUACAAAUAGCACAAUGCCUAUGUGACUAUGGAGGACAUUUGGAGAAAAAAAAUGAUAGCAUAAGAAAGCAACACUCAUCCUGUCAUAUGUAUCUGUGGGUUCAUUCUAGACUUGCCUUUCCAUAAAUUAAAGAGACCCAUAUCGGAGCACUGUUCCUGGAAAGGAUUGAGAUUCAGUGAAUACUCCUAUCAGAGAAGGGAGGAAGAAAUGCAGUUUUAACAGAUUUUUCCCUUUCUGUCCACAGCACAAAUUCACAUGCUGUUCUUUUGGCCUUCUUGAGCAGUCCCUUUAUGUUCCUGGACUACAGCCAAAAAUCCUGGGCAGCAUAGCUAGUGGUGAAGGCUUCUGGGAGUUUUAGUCCAAGAACAUCUGAGGACCCAAGGUUGGGAACCACUGCUUUAGGAGAUGAGGUAAAAAGGAAGAGGUGAUAAUGAUUACCUGCCUUCCUCCAGUAGGAGAGGUUGUGGAUGGAAUGCCACCCGCUGGAAAUUGAAGGACUGCUUUAUUUCACCUACACUCACUCAUGCAGACUUACAGAAAGAGUUGUUGAAAUCAUGCACACGAAACAUUUCCUGUUGGCAUUGCUGCAAGUUCACUCUAUGUAGUUUGGUUAGAAGUGAUGCUUCAGAAUUAUUAGAUGGGACAAUUCAACUCAUUAAAGCCAAGAUGAUAGAAAUGAACAACAUCUAGAGAAUAACAACUGCUCCAGGCAGAGAGGACUCAUGCCCUUUUCCUUCCACUGUCCAGAAGCUACUUCUGGUGGCAGCUGUUCCUUCAUUUUAAAAGGUAAUUAUGAAAGUUAUUGAAUCCUGUGUUAAACAAAGCUGGAAAAUAUUCUUCUAUUGAUCACUUGCUUUAUUUAAUAUUGCUGUUUACUGCUAAUUGCUGUGAUUUUUUUAAAAAUGGCCUCUUUUUGAUUAUA
rnacentral:lncRNA from 1 species